rnacentral:snRNA from 1 species
ACACUGGCUUUGGCAGCGCAUCCACUAAAAUUGAAACGAUGCAGAGAUUAGCAUGGCCCCUGCGCAAAGAAAGAUGACACACAAAUUCGUGAAGCGUUCCAUAUUUUA